CGGGAAACGUGGCAGAUAAUAAAAUGUGAUUGGCUAUUCCUAAUGCAUCAAUGUAUCCAUUAACCAAUCAUCUUUUAAAGUCAUUUGUACGUUCGUUUAAAAUUAUGUAGAUUGUUUUAUUAAAAAGUAAUCCUUUUUUGCAGAUUAUUAUUCAAAAAUUUUAUAAUUUUGAAUAACUGAUUAUUCAAGUUCAAGUUUACUUUUGACAACUGAAGUAGCAAAUGCGUUAUAAAUGCAUUUUUUAAAUUAAUAUUCCAAAUUGUUUUAACAAACAAAUCGAAGCAACAAAUAUAAGAUGUAAAAUACUCAAAAAUAUCAUGAUCUAUAAUUCCAGAUGAAUAAGGAUAAUGGAAAUGAUAAGAGUGAAGGUAAUAAUAAUUCAAAUUCGUAACAAACGUUCGAUAAAUUUUAUUUUUUCAUGUAUCACGUGACAUGAUCGAAAUUAUCCAACUAAAUAAUAUACAGCAAUUUGCAAUGGCUGUGUUUUCAUGUGCAUAUGGGUUAGAGUAUUAGAAAAAACGUAUUAUUAAAUGUCUUAUGUAAAACUCUCGAGUAUAAGAGAAUAUCUCGACAUAGUAGGUCUUCGCCGCAAGCCAAUUAAAGGGUUGCGCUAUUAAGGCACUCUAUGCCAGGAAUAUGUUUAAGGUGCACGAGCGGUACAAACAGGAUUCAUGAAAUAUAUAAUAUAUAAUGUGUUUUAUAUAUAGAUAUCUCUAUAAAAGAAAUGAAAGUAUAUCAUGUAUGACAAAUGGUAAAUAAAUGAUAAUAAACGUACAUAUACAGAUUCGAUUUAAGAGAAAUUAAAACUAGAUAUAUCCUAAAAAUAAUUGGACGGCGGUCUAAUGUAUAUUUUAAUAGUGAUUCGUUUUUAAUUAUUAUGAACGAUGAAGGGGAAUGUAUGCGAAAAUUUUUUUUAAUUACUAUUAAGUAAAUUAACAAUAAUGUUAACAAAAUUUACAUCAAUUUUCUGUAAUUUUUCUAUUAUUUUCUUGUCUCUUUCAACAAUAUCUAUUUCUAGAAUAUCUUAUUUAUAUAUAAAAAUCUUUUACAAAAUUUAGAAGAUAAAAGGAUCGUUAAAUUUAAAACGAAAUAACGUAAAUGCUCUACGAUUGUACUUGUUAGAAACGACGUCAUCGAUAUUAUCUCUCAUUGACUUUCAUAGUCCGAUUUCACUAUUCGUAAUAGCACAGUGGGCGUAUUUGGAGCUUUUUGUUUUCAUUUCAAUAAAAGAAUUCUUUGCUAGUUUGAAAAAUCUUGAAUACCAUAUUUUUCUUUAUUCGAAUCGAGUGCGUCAUUCACUUAAAAAUAUCUAUACAUUCGAUCUAGACAAUAUACACAACACAUUAAAAUUCUGUAUACACAUAGUACGAUCAUAAAAUUGUUCCAUUGCACAAUGCUAUAAAUAUAAUCAUAAUAAUGAUGCACUCGACGUCGAAGUUGAUAAAGUAUUAAAGGUCGCAUUAUCACGUAUUUCACAGUACAAUAAUUCAUUUAUUCACUCGAAAUUUCGAGUUUUGAUCAAAUUUUCUGAAACUAUUUGUUUUUUUAGAUAGUCUAAAUGAUAUUUAAUAUAUCCAAUUCACCGGAACCCAUUGAUGUUCAGUUGCUAAAGCAUCUAACGCGGCGAUCACUUGUCUAAAUGUAUUGUCGAAAUCUUCAUUCACAAUCACCAGAUCGAUAUAUUUUUCGUAAGCACGCUGCAAGGCCGCAGAUUCUUCCAACGUAGCCUUCAAAUCGUCUUCCUGAAUCAAUAAGAAAUAAAUUUAAUUUAAUUGCAUUUUGAAAAGUUUCAGUUACUACAUAUCUACAAGCAAUUACACUACAUUAAAAAAAUAAAGAAAAAAGAAUGAAUCUGCAUGCAGUACAAACCUCGUACAACGAAGCAAGGGAUUCCAGUGUUCUGGCUCUUCUCGAACUGUAUCUGAUGGAACUCUGGCGGUCAAACUAGCAAAGCCAACAUCAAAUACAUACAAAAGAUUAAAUAAAGAACGCUACAUAGUUUGAGAAAAAUGGAAAUUGUACGAUGGAAAAUAUGUAAAAAUAUUCAAUAUAAAUCUAAAUGGAAUAGAGAACAUAAUAUUUAAGAAUGAGUUUUAUGCAAAAUGAAUUUCAUAGGAGAAAUAAAUUGUUUUAAUCGAACGAAAGUGCAUGCGAUACAUGUACAAUAGGCAAAUUACACGCAUUUACACGACGACGGCAAACAGAUUGGCAGGCAAAAAUUUGAAAAAUUAUUAUAUCGUAAAAUAUUUGAUAAUUAUGUUUAUUUGAAACUAUCUGUGCCGUCGAUAUGUUUUUAUACAAAUUUCAUCUAUCGAAUUAUUCUUUUGCAAACUUCUCUUUUUUAUUUUUCAUACAGAAGUUGGAAAAUGUUCUAAAGAAUCAUUAUAUAAAUUUAUAUAAAUGUUUUUUCAUCAAAUCCACAAUAAGACGAACAGUCAAGUAGCAUUUGUAAAUAAUAUUUCAUAAACAUAGAUUUUUUGAUUUUUAAUAUCGAUCGUAUCGGAAACAAAUUUAUAAUUUUUAUAUUAGAAAAAGAGAAAGGAAAAAAAAAUAUAUCUGUUAUAUAAUUACCGUCAAAUUUCGACUGCUCGUUCCAGUCGAUCUUUGUAAAUCGUACAACCAUUUCAAUUGUUCCAUUCCUGGCGCUGCUAUGAAGAUGACAUAAGGCAUGAACUCCGUGCUGUUAUGAAGUAUUUUCAAAGCUGCUGGACUACAAUCCAAAACACACAUUUUUCCUGCUCUAAUUAAUUCUCGCACAGAAUCCAAUUUUGUACCAUACAAAUGGCCACCAUGUUCUCCGUACUCGAGAUACCGAUGCUCUCUGAUAUCUGUUUCCAUCGAUUCGCGAUCGAUAAACCAAUAGCUUUUGCCAUCCUCUUCGAGUACUCUGGGUGGUCGUGAUGUAUCUAAAAUGAUAUCAGUGAGUAAAUAUCACAGUUCUAAUACUUAAGAGCAAAGUUUUUUUUUUAUAUAUAUUAUUAGCUAAUUUACAAUUGAAUAAAUUAUUAUAUAGUGUAAUGAAAUUUUGUAUAGUUCAUUUUAGUCAAGAUUUUACCAUCAUAUAAAAAUUAUGAUAUUUACACGGAACAAUGGUACCAAACUUCUCAGGAUCGCUAUUUAUCAGCCUAUUCUUCAGUGUCCUACGACCAACACCUCUCGCACCGACUAAAGCCAAGGUUUUGCGUCUAAAAGGUGGCAUCCUGGCUACUUCUUCGUAUAACAAAAGUUCCGCACUAUCAAAUUCACCGUUAGACUUCGAUUGGUACAUUUUUCUUUUCUUCUUUUUAGAAAUCUUGGUCCCGCAAAUGCUAAUCUUGUGUACAAAGUCAGCUUCCGGUGGAACAAACGCUUUCCUUCGUUCUUCCAGUUCCAAAGAUGGAAUUAGCCCAGGUGGACCCAAACCUUCGCCUUCGACUCUUCGAGCUUGCCACCAAUUUGGAUCCGCCUGAUCCACGAUUUGUAGUACAUCACCUUUUUGGAACGGAAGUCCAAUCUCCCUGCAUGGUAAUAGAGUAUCUUCUGAUGGAUCGUAGUCAAAGAGCGCUCUCAUGUAACACUGUAAUGGAAAAUAGGUAUUUUUCAUACGAAUGAAUUUUAUUUUAUUAAUUUUGCUAUGUUUGUUUCUAGACUAUGUUUCAUUAAUUUUAAUUUUUUAUAAUUUUUCAAAAAUUUUUCCAUUCAUUUUGCAUUCUUAUUUUUAAAGUAUUUUGUAAUUUUAAUUUUUUAAUUUUUUUCAAUUCGCUUGUACAUUAUAUUUGAUAAAUACCAUCAAUAUCGUUAAUUCUAUCUACAAAUGUAUUUGCUUACCAUUCUCAAUUCACUUUAUUAUUUAUUUCUAAAAAACGUAAUAAAAUACACAUAAAACGAGACACAUAAUGUUAUCAGCACUUUAGUUUCCAACAAUUAUUUUUAUAUUUAGAAUAUAACUUUAAUAAAAGAUUGAUCAUAUCUAUUGUUUAAAUUUUAUAAGCAAAACAAUAAAAUCUAUAGUUUAAAACUAGUAUAAACUGCUCGUUGAAACCAUAUGUUCCAUAUGGAUAUCAUUAAAAUGAACGUAAAGGCUUCAAGAGGAUUAAACAUAUUUUUGAAUAUUGUUAUACUACACAAAUAUUUUCAAAUACAUUGGCUAUUUUAAAUUCAAAUUCAUUCAAGAAGUAAUAAAAGCCCCUUAUUAGCUUGUGCACAUCAAAAAUUACCGUGGAUUUUACAGGUCGAUUGCCAUCGGUGGCGAUACCAGGCGCCAGCUUCAGCGACAAAUUCUCCUUUGCCUCGUGAAUGGCUUCCUGAAGCUCUUCAGGGUUGUGAACUUCCUUUCCAUUCACUUCGAGAAUCACCUCACCGGUUCUGAGAAGUCCUUGGCGGGCGGCUGUGCUUCCGCCCAGGAUCCUGGCGAUGAUCAAGUUGCCAGAUUCGUUGACUUGCACUGUUAGGCCCUGUGCAAAAACGGACCAGUGAAAAUAAACUUCGUUUCCGUUGAACGUGACCAGGUUUGCCAUUUAAUACAUUUAGAGAACAAUUGAUGAUUCUGUGUCUAAUUCAUUUUUGUUAGUAGAUUCUCACGAUUUACCUUGUUUACGAAGAUUUAAUGUUUCUAUUUGAAUCUAAACAAACCCGAUGGAACAGAAUAUUCACGAUCAUAGCACUUUUGUCGAAAAUACAUUUGGCGGGAGAAUUGUGAAUGUUACGAAAUGUGUUCCAAAAGUAAUUUGGAAUAUAAUUUUUUUGAACGAGAAUUCCGAAUUCAAGAAUUUAAUGUAUCCGAAAAAAUGGAUAAUUUUUCAUCCUCCUGUUAAAACAUUUUCUUGAUAUAAAGUUUGAAACUUUAACCCCCGAAAGAAUAUAUUAGAUUCAUCGUAAAAGCCACGUGGUCUCGAGUCAUCGCGUGGAUAAUAAACGUUCCGAAUUAUUUAUGAAUCGCAUUUCCAUCCUUUCUUCGUACAAAUGCGAUUCGGAAUGGGAAUUUUCCCACGUGAUGGAAUAGCAAACUUCUAAAACUAGAAUCCACGAUCGAGAAAGUUGGCGUGGACAGUAUAUACGCUUCUUUGUUGAUCGUUCGAGAUGUGUUCCCUCGUCAGCCACACUUUCUUCGUCGAUGAGCGCAGAGAUUAUCCUCCGAAUAUUCCCAACUUUUGGGGGAUCCAAUUAAGAAAUUUGCAAACCCAUCGUUCGAAAAAAUGUUCAAAUAUCUUUCCAAGCACCUUAUCCUUGUUGAAUAUCUUCGAACAUUCCCGUUUAACGUUUGACAUGAAUUCUCACCAGGGGUUCAUCAGGUUGCCUUCUGAGGCCGACGACUCUGACGGCUUCCAUCCUCUCGUUAGUGGGCAUCGUCAGUAACGGUGGUUCCGGCUUCGAUGGUGGCGCUUCCUUCCUCUCGACGACCGCGUCGUGGGUCUCCAGAAGCGCUUUCAGAUGCGAGCUCCUCAGCAAUCGCACGAGCUCCCGCGCGUUCUCGUCCCUCGAGGAACGGAGCGCGUGACACACCUCGUCGACGAUAUCACAAACGGACGAGCAUACCGGUUCCACGUGGAGUGGAGGAUCCUCCAGACGCUCUUGGACCUGCAACAGUCAACGAGUUCGACUUUCAUGGGAACUGGUUUUCGUUCCGGCCCUCUUUCGACUAACUCGACGUCAACGAGACUUUUUCGAUUUCAAAAUUCCCAGAUUAGAUUGCCACCUCGGUAUACUUCCAAGAAAUAUAAAAUUUCAGCGAUCGGAAUAAUUUUGUAUCGCGUAUUAUUUUUAUCAGGAUAUAGUGUUCUUGCAAAUAUUUCGAUUUUCAUCGACGAAAUAAGUCUCGAUCUCCUUUCUGGGCUACGUAUAUACAAGCAAAGCCACAAACAGUGAACGGCUUAGCCAUCGCCAGUUGUGAAAGUCGAAACGGGUUUCCGCAUUAAAUUCACCGUACGAGGAACCUUGAUUGCUCUUCGUCCCUCUCGUUCGACUCGAGAGAAAUGAAAGCUCUCAGACUACUUUUGCAUCGACGAACAAACAAAUUUAAUUUUUCUCAUUGUUUCAUUUUCUGUUCUCCCUCUUAUCGCUAAACUAAAAUUUUCCUUCAUAAAAAUUCGAUAAAAAUUUUCUGCCGAUUCAAAAGUGAAAUUAUUAUUGCGCAACGGCGUCAACGAGGUUUGAUUGGAUUAGUGUCGGCUGCGUAAGGCUGGUGUACUCCACAUUGAACCAGCCAAUGCAGCGAUACAACAAUGAAAGAGUAAUUACGAAAGUAGGUCGGUGUUUCAGAACCACCUUCGAGAAUGCUUGAUACCUGAACACCGCGACGGUGUACCGCCAGCCAAGGAAAAUAAUCAUCUUUCCGAAUAAUUUCUUUCAGUAAUUUUCUUGAAGAAAAUCACAAGAUAAAAAUCAAAUAACACAUACAAUUUUAUCCAUGCCAUCGAAAUUAUUGUAAUGAAUGAUACGUGCGUAUAUAACAAGACUCUAUGAAUAAAAUAUUUAUUAAUAGGCUUAACAUAUUAUUUCGGAUAAAAGAUUUAUUUAUAAUCUUUUUUAAUGUCGAUGUUCAUCGACUCAGAGCCUUGAUUAAUCAAUUUUUAGGAUUCGAUUGCUUGUUCUAGCGAUAAUCUCAAUGUGAUAAUCUCGAUCGUGAUAGCUAAUAUCACGUAUAAAGUAUCAAUAAUGACAUUUUAAUGAAAAAUAUGAAUAUUUAAUGACGGUAUAAUUAAGUUAAAUACCGAAGUAAGUAAAUAUUAUCUAAAAUAUUUCACGGUAAGAAAUCCCACAAUUUUUCAAUUACAAUUUUUCUACAAAUCUUUUUCCAAUUGUUACGUCGUGAAACUAAUCGAAUAACAAAAUUUUCUUACAGAGUUUGACACGAAGCAUUUGCAAAUGGAAAUUACUUGGCGAAACUGUCGAAGCCGCUUGUUAUCCACGGCCACGAUGAUUCAUCGCCGAAUCAUUCGCGUCGAUACAUGUGCAUCGCAGAUGCACGCUGCUUUUCUUUCCACGAUUCAGCUCCAGCAUCGAGGAUAUGAAUUACGACACGGCACAGGUUAUGAAAAAAUUGCGCUUCCCCAUAAAACUCGUAUAACAAAAAGAAUCCACAAGAUCUUCGACUUCUCGACCCAGGCGACUUCGUACAUGACAUAAAUCAACUCACAACUUGGAACAUCAAAGAACACGAGUCGUGUUUUCUUUGAGACUUGGGAAAAUAGAUUGUGAUUUACGAGGGAUCGCUUCCAUUAACGUUUUGUUAAUAACCAUCUUACGAAUUAUUAACUCAAACUUUGAUUUUCCAUUUGAAUAAUCUGUUUUUUUUUUCAGAUUAGUGCAAAUUAUUUUUCGACGAAAGCGAAGAGAAAGAGAAGAGAAGCGUGUCUAUUUUUGAACGAUUCGAAGAGAAUUAGUGAAAAAAGAAAAAAAUUAAUCGAAAUUCAACGUUGAACGAAGGUCGGCCGCGUCUACCUCCUACGAAAUCCAGUGAUCUCGAGAUCCACUGAUCACACGACGCCAAGAGCGGCCAACGGUCAACAAAUCCCGCUUUCUCUCGAUCUCACGUGUCGCUGUAGCGAUAACAGUACUCCUUCGACGCGAUCCGCCGGAUCCAGAUUUCACCCAAAACUGUGAGUGGAACUAACGUGAACCGAGCAGCCUCUAUGGGAAUAUAUCACAAAGAAAUCACGACUUACACGCGAAACGCGAAGAAACGCCGAGGCAGAGGUCGCCUGUCUCCCAGCUAGGACGCUUCUGUUUGGAGAACCGAUUGGCCUCUCUCCUGGAACUGGAGUACGCCGUAUCGAUCGGCCAGGGACGUGAGGGUUCCACACGGCCGGAGACUAUUCACGGGGAGAAAAGUGACGAAGGGUUUCCACGAGGAUAAACCAAGGAUGACACGAGCACCGUGUGUGUUGCUUAGGUAAGCGGCGUCAGAAAACUGCCGCGCCUACUGACGUUUCUUUCGCCCCCACCUUGGAGCCAGCUCGUUCAGGCUGCCCGUCUGGAACAGGUGGGGGCCCUUCUUCGGAUGGUAUGCAACACUCCGCUACGUUCAGCGCAGGGCCGUCUACGCGCAACAUUCAGACUCUCCCCCUCCUGUUAUUUUCCAUCGCUUCGUAAAUUUGGAAGUAAGCCGCAUUUUUGAGAUCGUUUUAUUGUUUCGCAAUCUCUCGUGUUCUUUGUUUAAUAGCGGAUCGAAUAAUUCGACCGAUCAAUUUUUUUUGGAAAAUUUGUAAUUGCAUACGAAACGAGUGGGUAAAAUUUAUUUGGUCGAACGAGAGGAUAUCUUUUGAAUUUGAUGGUGGCUGUUAAUCAUUCUUAACAAUGUUAACAUAAUUAUAGAGUUAAAAGUAGAGAACCGUGGAUUUUAGGAUUCAGAUAGGUUAGCUCCGUCAGGCGAUAAUAUUAUUAUCUAUCUGGUAUCGUUGUCGGGACUUUUAACGCGUCUUUCGAGACAGGAAAGCAACGAUGUUUAAACGGAGUGGCAACAUGUGAACGUGUCUCGUUGCGAGGAAUGUUAAAUAUCCUAGAAGAGGUAGAGGGAUCGCUCGUGCUACUCGAACAUUCCGAUUGCGUAUGCUAUUCGCGUGUGAAAGCGCACACAUACAGAUCUUCCGUCUCACUCCUCGUCCUUGGACAUAUUUUGACUCUGAUCGAUUCUCUGCGUCGACUUUCGCCGAGAUCGCUAUCAUCGCGGCUAUUGUCGCCGAUCUAAAGAAUCGUGCAACUCGGUUACUCGAUUAGAUCUAUAUAACGAGUCGUGGUAAAAAUAGAAAAGAAAAAAAAACUCUGGUCAUCGACACCGAUCGGUUUGUAGAUCUUGCGACACAGGCGGACCCUUCUCAAGAUACUCAAUAAUCCGUUACGCGAUACAACGGGAUCGUAUGGCUCCGGUGUUAAAGACACUAUCGCUGCCGUAACGUUAACGAGAUUGCGGUUGCAUUGAUGAUUAGGACGGAAUUUAAUAUUCCUUCAUACGUUCGAAAAUUAGAACGUUUUCUAAAAAAACGAUUCUAAUUCAAAAAUACUCGCUUCGCUUUAAAUCGAUAAAUUCAUUUACAAAAAGAGGAUCUCGAUGAAGUAUCGUGUAAAGUAUUACAAAGUAUUUGGAAAAUAAAAAACACUUUAAAUUAUCUUCCAGCUCAGGUAUAAGAAACGUGAUGUCGAGCCACACGAGUCCUUACGAUUAAACCUUAAUUACACACUAAAACGAAAAGAAGGAGGAAAACGUUUCGCGUAAUUUUGAGCGUAAGAUGAACAACGAAACGACAAAAUCCCUUGAUCUCCCCACUCCUUCCAUCAGCCAUGGCACUCCGUGACGUCGACUACGUCCCUGUCCACAUACACGUGCAUCAAUGUCGCACACGCGUGCUCGUCCCUUGGCGAUUACAAAGCUGGUUGAAAUUACAUACUCGCGCGUGUGUGUACGCGAGUGCACGCGGCCUCGCGAUGACUGCCGACCCCCGGGCCAAUUGGACGGGUCCUCGGGGGUCCUCGCGGUCAAUUACGCCGGAUAUCAGACGAGCCGCGGUGACGAUUCGCCAAUUAACGGGAUUAUUGUUCACGAUUCGUGAAAUCGUGAUCCCGUAAUCUGCCGUGCUUCCGAUCCACGCUUUGCUUCUUCCCUUCCCCUCGCAGGAAGCGGCUUCGUUCCAGGGAAGGACCCGGUCGCGGUUUCCGCUUUUCGGCGAAACGCCCGUCGAAUUGAAAGAAAGGUGAUCGGGGGAGAGCGGAGGGGAAGGGAGGGGGAGGAGGAGACCGGAAGAGGAGUUAGUUAUUAGUGGCGGGGUUGGUGGAAUUAUGAUGGUUUUAUGUAUUUUGAUAUGGAUAUUGUAAAUUGUGAAUCGUAUUUUUAUAUUUAUAUUUUUAAUUUUAUAUUAUAUAUAUAUAUAUAUUUAUAAUUAGAGUAGACGUCUGAAUUGCGACGGAUGCAAAGAAACGGGAUUAUUGUCUUUGUAUCGUAUCAGUUUUUCACAAUCGUUUUCAUAAUUCGAUAUAGAAAAGACAAAUUAAGUUAGGUUAGGUUAGGUUAUAAUUAGACGUCUCAAUUGCGAUGGAUGCAAAGAAACGGAAUUAUUAUUUUUGUAUCGUAUUAGUUUUUCACAAUCGCUUUCAUAAUUCGAUAUAGAAAAGACAAAUUAAAUUAGGUUAGGUUAGGUUAUAAUUAGACGUUUCAAUUGCGAUGGAUGCAAAGAAACGGGAUUAUUGUCUUUGUAUCGUAUCAAUUUUUCACAAUCGCUUUCAUAAUUCGAUAUAGAAAAGACAAAUUAAGUUAGGUUAGGUUAGGUUAUAAUUAGACGUUUCAAUUGCGAUGGAUGCAAAGAAACGGGAUUAUUGUCUUUGUAUCAAUUUUUCACAAUCGCUUUCAUAAUUCGAUAUAGAAAAGACAAAUUAGGUUAGGAUAUGGUUUAAUUGUAUCAACUUGAAUUUACUUGUUAUUAUGAGAUGACGACUCUCGAGUCAAUUGGACAGGCGUUAACGACGUUCCUACUCGAGGCUGAUUAAGAAGACACUCCCUAAACGUGUUAAGCCAAUUUCCCUAGAAGUUAUUCACAGAAUGCGGCAGAACAAAUAGAAAGGAAGAAUCUGGAGGAGAAUCACAGUUCUCACACUUUUGGCCCAAAUGGGUCAGGUUACCCGGCCAAAUUUACUUUGGUCCGAUGAUCGAGCUUUUCACGCUUGUUUUCGACGGUUUUCCACGGUUUUCAAAAGGCGCAGCCUCGCCAACCGGUCUGUCAACUGUUUCCUAUUGUUAUCUUGGAGUCGAGCCGGAAACGGACACCGGUUUCUUAACGACUUUUCGACACCAGACGGGACUUGUACCUGCCGAUCUCGAAGAACGGGAUGGAAUGUGGGCCUGGCAGGUGCGCGAGGUGCGCACGUACAUGUGGACGAGCCUUAACGUCUCGUAGGUGAGCGUGCAGUCGAUCGAGAACAAGAUAAUACGAACCGUUUUGGGCCACGAAUAUUUCGAAGAGAGUUACUGGCUGGAGUCACAAGUUUUUUACAUUUCGAAACAUUUUUAAAGAUGUAACAUCAAAGUUCUUCUCUUUUCAUAGUUCUCCGAGAAUUUCAAAGGAAAAGAAGUUGACCCAUUUCCAAUGGAACUUUAUCCCAGAAUUUUUUCAAAAAUUUAUUAGAAAACUAGUCGGAUGAAGAUUCGGAAAACAUAAAAUACUCAGACGAGGAACAGGAAAGAAACUUAUUGGUAUAAUUGGUUCGAAAACUUGGUCGCGAUUUAUUAAGUAUAUUUUGCGAAAGAUUAUUCAAAAAGAAAGUAAAAUUAUAUGUUAGAAUAAAUAUAAAAUCUUCAGGAGAUCUUUUCCAAUUUAUUGUAUAUUUCGACAUGAUGGAGAAAAAAUUGAGAGAAAAGAUGAUCACUGGAUUUAUUCACUCGAUCGAUGGAUAAUAUGUAACGUAUUCAUCGAAAGUAUGGAUCCGCGAUUCCAUGGCAAAUCUGUGUCACGACCGAAAUAAUACGGACGUUUCACGUGGCCGUGGUGCAAACGGCGCGUGAAAAGAAGUUGGAGUAAAUCCUGUUUCUAAAAUUUCGUCAAUUGGAUCUUGCAUUUUCGUGGCAUACACCAAGAACUCGAAAAGGAUAAUUAUCUUAGUUUGAAUUUCAAAGAAAUCGUUCGUUCGUACAUAAUGAAAUGUUGACUCAUCUUUGGACAAAGAGGAUGAUAUUGAAAUAAAGGAUUUGAAUGAAUAUUCAAAUUUUUUUAUGAAUAUAUUGUUGGAAGCAUUCUUUUAAAAAGUCUUUUAAAUGAUGAUGAAUGCAAGGAGUAAGGCUGAUGGUGAAGGGUGUCACAUUAUUAAUUAGCAAAUAUUCUAAAUUCAUAAAUUAUUGUAUAAACGAGAUAAGAGAAAUUGUCAACAAAGAAUUUUUGAAAGAUAUAUAAAAAUUGUAAAAAUAUUUUCUUGCUUAAUUUUCAGAAUUUUAUCAGAUGAAGCAAGAUUCGAUUCUGAUAUAAGGUUCGAGAAAUUUAAAAGUUGACGUGUAGACGAUAAUAUCUUUUGUAAGCUGUUUAAAUAACGCGUUAAACGGACAUUGAUGGAUUGUAUAGUGGAAUGAUUAUUGAUAGACAUUGUAUAAUGUGGAUUAAACAAUGGAACGACACAAUAGUACCUUGAUGAACAGAAUACAGCUGUUGAAAGUAUUUUUUUUUUCUAACCAGAGUAAAGUAUAUGUCGUAAUGAAACAAGAGAUUGAAACUAAAAGUUGAGUAAAACAAAUUUGUGCUAUAAUUAAUCAUAAAAUUGAAACGAAAUCGAAAAUGAACGACGACACGGUUAUUAACGUGGCAGAAAAUUACACGUAACAAACCAAGUGAUAUUUUUAUUAAAAGAAAAAGAUAAAACGUCGAAACAUUAGAAGGUAAAAAAAGAAAAAAAUAUAUUUUAUUUAAAAAGAUGAAGAUGAAAAAUCAAUCAAGAAAUCGAGUAUCCUCGUACAAAAUUCUCUUAGCGAACUUCUCAGCAAUCGAACAAUAAAAAAAUAGAAUAGCAACACAAACUAAACGAAUCCAGCUGUUCCAGCGCGCGAGUAUCUCUCCUAUUUAUAAGAACGAGCUAAGAAAUCGAUCCCAGACGAGUCUCGAGGAAGAAACGGGUUCAACGACACGAAGGAUUUUUACCGAACGCGGCGAAGAGACGAGUUACGUUUUUCGUUUCAUAAUGUUGAAUAUACAAGGAUUUCACGGCAGACGAGCAAUCUCGUAAAUGAAUAUCUCUUUCUCGUAAAAUCGAGGAGCCGCCGGCCGUAGUAAACACAUGGCACGUGCAUGUGUUCGAGCUAUCCGCUCUAUCGCGCAUGAUCCAACGACUCACACUAUUGUUUAUUUCAUCGAUGCCAAAAAUAAUACACAAACGCGGAUAAUGGUUGCAAUUAAUCGAGUCGAACGUUUAGAUUGAAAAAGUUCUAAGCUCGUUCGAGCGCUAAUAGAUCUAACGAGUCGGCUGAGAGUUGAAGGAAAUCACUUCAUCCAAUUUAAUUCCUUUGUGAAAAACGUCUGCCAAAUAACCUUAUAGUUAACACGACAUGAAUUAACCUCAAAACUUGAGACGCAAUUUCAAUUUUAAUUAUUCGAAGGAAACACAGGAAAUUUGUACGAAAUUUUUCGAUCUCUCGUUUUAUCGUAACGAUUGAAAUGGAAGGAAGAUGACGCAAUAUAGAAAACUGUUGUUCACUCACCUUAACCAGAGACGUGACUACAGGGCUGUCCAAGAGGCCUUUGAGAAACAACAGAUCCGUGUCGUCGGCCACCUUGCCCAGUUCCUCCAGGUUGUCGCGUACGUGCAUGAAGGCGGCUGGAACAGUGACCAGACACUUUUCCAUAACACCGUGUUACCUCGUCGUGCGCGAAGGGCAACGACACUGCCGGCACGAGCGUCGUCGUGAGGGUGUAAAAGAGCGACGCGAGGGGGUGCCGGGUGUGGCCAUUCGCCGGAUCAAUAUUGGGAUACAGCCACAGGUGGCUGGAGCACGAGACAUUUCGUUGGGGGGGAUGGAUUUUUGAAUAUUAAUUUUACGAAAAUUCAUUGGACGAUAGAAAAUUUUUUGUAUACCGAUUUGUCAAGAUAACAAGAAGGAAUAAAAAGUUAUGUAACAAAAAAGAAGAAGAAAAGAAAUUGUGAAGUAAAAUUUUGAUUUACGUACAAAUUGAUAUUUGUCGGAUUAACGAACUUGUGGAUAGAAAUAGCGAUCAGGCGGUCUAAUUAACGAGGAUCUGAGAAUUAUUCAAUUCUCGAUUCUCGAUUGCAACUUAUUGAAUAUCUUUACAACGCAUCGUCGUGAUCUAGAGCAAGCUCAAGGACCAAAUAAUCAUUGUGCCGCUUCAACAAUAGUCUUCAGUUGGUGUCAAUUAACAUUGAAUCCAUUCACGAGUACCGGGACUAAUUAGUGCCACGAUCGGACUUCGUCCCAUCUUUUCACUCUCGUUCGGCUUUAAAUUAACAUUAUUUUCAAGGGGAGCCUAUUUAUUUCGAUUGUAUCUUCACGCUUCGUGAUGUUUAAUUAUCGAAAAGGAGAUCAUAUUUCAGGUUCGAGUGGCUGUGAUAAACGAUGACUGGCCACUUGAACGUACGACGAUAAGUAAUGUCGACGAGGAAACGUUUGCAUGAUAAAUGCACGUAGUUACACGAAGCUAUCGAACCACGAAUACAUAGAGGCGGACUAUGGCGAUCGCGUAUCGUCUUUCCAGAGCGCCUCGACCUAUUUCUCGUCUGGUUUAGAGAGAGAGAGAGAGAGAGAAAAGAUAAAAGUUUUAAACCAGUUUGACGCCAAAAAGGAACCGAUGAAUAUUUUUCGACACAAGUUAUACGUUUUUGUCUCUUUUUUGGAUUAUUUAUUUCUCUAAUAUAAAAUCGAGCAAAGAAAAUAAAGAGGGAGCGAAUAAAUUUGCAAGAGAGUAUUUUGAUUCGCCAAGGACCAGAACGAAAUACGUAAACGCGGUGGAAUAAUAUUUAGAUACGGGUAAAGUUUGUUCGCAGCGCCUAGCUGGAGAAAUACGAGGGAAUACUUGGAUUCGUAAAAUCGCGAGACUAAAUAUUUCUCCUUAAUUUUCAAGGAAUCGCAAGCUUCCUCGAUUUCUGUAAGUAGGAAACUAAACGAAUUCGUGUCUCGAUGAUUAAAUUAUUAUUUUACCAUUUUCUAUGUGAUACAGUUUGGCGCCAUUCACAGCGUCGAUGCUGGCCAGCAAUCGCCGGUCUUCUAUUUUCUCCUUUCUCCCGAAGAAAACCAUUUCGACGUUCUUCUCUGCACUCGAUCGCGAGUUCACUCUACGCUUUAAACCAUCCUUUCAAUGCACCACCGACAAAUCGCACAUUUUCACACUUUCUUCUCCCCUUAUUCCUCCCCCUUUCCUCCCCGUUAUAUUUUUAUCAUCGCGUGUAGAGUGACGCCAGUAUCACAGUAAGAGAACACGAUCGUUCUUAAACGUGUCGUACGAAAAUAGCGUUUUAUGAGCGUUAAAUAUUGUCACAAGUUCGCGAUAAAACCGAUCUGUUUUCCACUCAACGAUGAUUACUCCGGUGUUCCUUUUCCAGCACGUGUCCUGGCAUAUUCGUCACUCUCGGUAGUGGAAGCCAGUGUUUGCGAAGAGCACCGAGCAAACAAGAGGAUUUCCUUGGAAGACGUGGAGAAGCGUGCACAGUGGUCCGUUCCAGGGCACCACGUCACGGUGAAUGGAAACGCCGUGUUACACCUGCUUGGGGCCCCUGCUUGCCUCGGCAAGGAGACUGAAAGCGACACCCUGUGUGGAGGUGAUGGAACACAACGAAGCUGAGCGAAUGUUCGCCGCCUCGCCAACUUGCGUUGGAAAAUUCGUGACGCUUUUUAAAGACAUCGCGGCGGCGACGACGGUGAAAGUGUUUCUUCCUUUUCUCACCAACACGGUUCUUUUAUCAUAUCCGACUGGUUGCUUCAAAUUAUGUAUACGCGCAAUUUCGUGACUUGCAGCUCUGUCUCUGUCUGCACUCUUCGAUUUUUUUUGUAAAAAAAAUCUGUAUUU